ACUAAUAACCUAAACAGACUUUACAAUUCUAAACCCUAAUGUCUCUCCUAUAUUCAGUUUCUUCACGCCGCUUCUCCAAUAUUCAGUUUCUUCUUCAAUUUCUUCAAGCCAAUAACGCUUCACGCCGGUGACUCUUCACGUCACCACAACGAUCUGCUCUUUGUUGCCUUUGCUCCUUCAACGAUCUGGUCUUCGUCGUCUCUGCCCCUUCAACAACCUGCUCUUUGGCCGCCUCUUUUGUUCGUGUCGAUCUGCUUCUACUCGGCAAUUCUGGUGUUCGUCAUCCCCUACUCCAUCGCCGACCACAUCUGCUUCCCUGAGGGCUGUUCAUCAAAUGCAAAAAAGGACACUGAAAUGCCUAUAAUGAAAGUCCAUAAAGAGACGAGAAUAAUUACUACCUUUCUCCAAGAAUGUCGAAUAUAAAUGAGGGUGUCAUUCAAAUUCAAUUGACUCAAGACUCACAAACAAGUCCAGUUUGGGAUAAUAUUGCUGAAAAUGAAGAUGUUGAAAAAGAAGGAAAUGCAUCUAUUACAUUAUUUUGUCUUUAGAAUUUUAUGUUGUUUAUGUAUUUUGUAAUUUAUGUUUAGAUAAUUUUUUGUUGGAUUUAUCAGUUGUACUUUAAAUUUUAUUA